AGACUAUUUAUCUUAAGCAAUUUUCUUUUGUGUGAUAUUGCUUUAUAUUAGUUGAUGAUUGUGUUGAGUUUGAAAAAAUCUGAUGGUGGUUAUCAACUUAGAAUGUAAGGGAAAUGGUUGUGCUAAGUUUGAAGAAUCUGAUGGUGGUGCUCUCUGGGACAUCUUUAGAAAGGAACAUGUCUCUAAGUUGGAAGAGUAUCUAAGGGACUUCAAGUAGUUCAGGCAUAUUUAUUGUUGUCAAGUGCCAGGGGUACAACUGUUUGCAUUAACCUUUUAAGAGAUGUAUGACUGUAUGUUCCUUUUGUUUUGAUUAUCUUUCAUCUUUUCUUUACUUAGGUUGUUCACCCAAUACAUGAUCAGAGUUUUUACUUGACUCUUGAACACAAGAAAAGGCUUAAAGAAUAAUAUGGUUAGAGUUUUCUUCUGUCAGCUUACACUUUUUUUAAAUACAUUUUUAAAAAUUUCUCAUACAUGCUAUGGUGGAUGAUGAACUGUUUAGGGUUUGAACCAUGUUCAUUCGUUCAAAAUUUAGGGGAUGCUAUUAUUAUACCAGCACGUUGUCCUCAUCAAGUUAGAAAUUUGAAGCUAACUAUUGUGCUAAAGAAAGGGGACAUGGACCAAAGAAGAGCCAAUGCAAUGAGUACUGACCUCUAUGCUAGAGGUUUGGUUGAGAUGAAGUUUUGUUUACAAAUCACUUUAGAAAUGCAUGAGAAAAAUGUUAAUCUUACCAAUUAAUACUCUGCUUUAGGCAGCUCCUUUUAAUCUUGCUGAUAAUGAUUUAUAUGUAACCUUAAAUACAUAGAAGCCUUCUAGGCUUUGAAGUAGAAGGCUGAUCAAAGCUACCAUCAUCUACACUGGGUCAAAGUCAUUGAAGUAGAAGACUGUGGAUGCUGCAUUGAUCAAAGCCAUUGAAGCAGUGUCGGAUUUGAAGGCUUAUUUGGGUGCAGCUAGCAUACUUAAAGUAGUAUAUAUUUUCAUUGACUUUUUUUGGUGUAUGUUAAUAUUCAAUUGUUGGAAGUACUAUGUUAGACAUUCCAAAAUUUUUGUUGUAAAUAAUUUUGAUGUUUAAAUAUAUUUUAAAAGUGUUGGGUCUAA